GACAUACAAGUAGUUAGGGAAGGAAACUGGACGACCCUUCGGGGAGUCUUGUACAGGUGCUGCAUGGCUGUCGUCAGCUCGUGUCGUUGAGAUGUUCGGUUAAGUCCGCUAACGAGCGCAACCCUCGCUGUGUGUUACAAGUGUCACACGGAACUGCCGGUCAUAAACCGGAGGAAGGUGGGAUGACGUCAAGUCAGCAUGGCCUUUAUAUCCUGGGCUACACACACGCUACAAUGGGAAGGGACAAUAGGUUGCGAAGCCGCGAGGCGGAGCCAAUCCAGCAAAACUUCCCUCAGUUCAGAUUGCAGGCUGCAACCCGCCUGCAUGAAGUUGGAGUUGCUAGUAAACGCAGGUCAGCCAUACUGCGUUGAAUACGUUCCCGGGGCUU
rnacentral:rRNA from 1 species